rnacentral:rRNA from 1 species
UGUCGUACUAGAGUUCAGGAGGGGAAGCUGGAAUUCCUGGUGUAGGGGUGAAAUCUGUAGAUAUCAGGAAGAACAUCAGUGGCGAAGGCGAGCUUCUGGCCAUGAACUGACGCUGAGGCGCGAAAGCGUGGGGAGCGAACAGGAUUAGAUACCCUGGUAGUCCACGCUGUAAACGAUGUGCACUAGGUGUUGGGCCACGAAGGUCCAGUGCCGGAGUUAACGCGUUAAGUGCACCGCCUGGGGAGUAUGCUCGCAAGGGUGAAACUCAAAGGAAUUGACGGGGGCCCGCACAAGCGGUGGAGCAUGUGGUUUAAUUCGAUGAUACGCGAGGAACCUUACCAGGGCUCGACAUCUGCCUGACGGCGGUAGAGAUAUCGCUUCCCUUCGGGGCAG